UCUAGUGGUGAUAGCGGAGGGAAAACACCCGUUCCCAUCCCGAACACGGAAGUUAAGCCCUCCAGCGCCGAUGGUAGUUGGGGCCAGCGCCCCUGCAAGAGUAGGUCGCUGCUAGGC
rnacentral:rRNA from 1 species